GCUCGCGUGGUGGAACCGGUAGACACACAGGACUUAAAAUCCUGUGGGGGGCAACCCCCGUGCCAGUUCGAUUCUGGCCGCGAGCACCA
rnacentral:tRNA from 1 species